UCUGGUGAUGAUGGCGAAGAGGUCACACCCGUUCCCAUGCCGAACACGGAAGUUAAGCUCUUCAGCGCCGAUGGUAGUCGGGGGUUUCCUCCUGUGAGAGUAGGACAUCGCCAGGC
rnacentral:rRNA from 2 species